UGGGGAAUAUUGCACAAUGGGCGCAAGCCUGAUGCAGCAACGCCGCGUGAACGAUGAAGGUCUUCGGAUCGUAAAGUUCUGUUGCAGGGGAAGAUAAUGACGGUACCCUGUGAGGAAGCCCCGGCUAACUACGUGCCAGCAGCCGCGGUAAUACGUAGGGGGCUAGCGUUAUCCGGAUUUACUGGGCGUAAAGGGUGCGUAGGUGGUCUUUCAAGUCGGUGGUUAAAGGCUACGGCUCAACCGUAGUUAGCCUCCGAAACUGGAAGACUUGAGUGCAGGAGAGGAAAGUGGAAUUCCCAGUGUAGCGGUGAAAUGCGUAGAUAUUGGGAGGAACACCAGUAGCGAAGGCGGCUUGCUGGACGGCAACUGACACUGAGGCACGAAAGCGUGGGUAGCAAACAGG
rnacentral:rRNA from 1 species